rnacentral:rRNA from 1 species
AUACAGAGGGUGCGAGCGUUAAUCGGAAUUACUGGGCGUAAAGCGCGCGUAGGCGGUUAUUUAAGUCAGAUGUGAAAUCCCUGGGCUCAACCUAGGAACUGCAUCUGAAACUGGAUAACUAGAGUUUAGGAGAGGGGUGUAGAAUUUCGGGUGUAGCGGUGAAAUGCAUAGAGAUCCGAAGGAAUACCAGUGGCGAAGGCGACUCCCUGGCCUAGAACUGACGCUGAGGUGCGAAAGCGUGGGUAGCAAACGGGAUUAGAAACCCUAGUAGUCC